rnacentral:rRNA from 1 species
AUUGAACGCUGGCGGCAUGCUUUACACAUGCAAGUCGAACGGCAGCGGGGGCUUCGGCCCGCCGGCGAGUGGCGAACGGGUGAGUAAUGCAUCGGAACGUGCCCAGUCAUGGGGGAUAACUACGCGAAAGCGUAGCUAAUACCGCAUACGCCCUGAGGGGGAAAGUGGGGGAUCUUCGGACCUCACGUGAUUGGAGCGGCCGAUGUCAGAUUAGCUAGUUGGUGAGGUAAAGGCUCACCAAGGCGACGAUCUGUAGCGGGUCUGAGAGGAUGAUCCGCCACACUGGGACUGAGACACGGCCCAGACUCCUACGGGAGGCAGCAGUGGGGAAUUUUGGACAAUGGGCGCAAGCCUGAUCCAGCCAUGCCGCGUGAGUGAAGAAGG